UCCAGCUUCUACUCCACUACCUCGACGCCGAAGACCACUUCCACGACCCCCGCGUCGACUACGCCGUUCCCCUACUCCGGCUCGCCUCUCCUUCGUGUUCCGGCACGGUCUGGCUUCUCUAGAUCGAAAAUGUGAUGGUGUUGUGAUGGUGUUGCUGCUUCCUAUGCUGGCCGUGGCAUCUCACCGUGGUGCGGUGGUAGGCAGUAGCUAUCCCCCUUCUUCAUCUACCUCAACUACUUGUUCGUCUAGGCCUUCCUCUCGGACCUUUUCAUGAAUAGAACUUUUAUCUUUAAUCUGAGGAAGCUAACUAAGAUGUAAGAAUUCCAAAUGCAGUAUCAAGGUGGAGAUCCAUGAUGGACCUUACAAUGUCAUCAAGAACUAUAACUACAACGGCCUUGUGGAAACCAUCCACAAUGUGGAGCACAAGUGCUGAACUGCCAAGGAGGUUGCUCAUAGGCAGCAAUAUUUCUUCUCGAAAAACUACAGGAACAAUAGACUGAAGCACAUCCUACCCCGUCCUCCUCCAGAACCAACUCCUGCGUCUGCACCAGCACCACU